rnacentral:lncRNA from 1 species
UGCUUAGAAACGGUUCCUAGUGGAAACCUGGUUCUCCUCUCUUUCCUCAUAAAACACUCUAGAAUUCUCAGUGACUUCCAGAAUUCACGCAGUUAGUUCAAGUGAAGGGCCCUGCCACUUAAGUCCAGUUACCAUCACAAUAAAUCUGCCUUUGCCUGAGAUACUUCUUAAAACUGAAGAUGCCUCGUAUUUACCUCAAUCACUAAAUUAGAAGGUGCGCAGGUGGGCUCAGGAAUCUCCAUGUCAGCACAUGCAUCUCUGAGGACCACUGCUCCAGAUAAUAAUAAAGUACUUGAAGUCAAGAAUCAUCUUAUUCACCUAUGUCAUUCCCUUUGCAUAUACAGUUAGAACCAUGUCCUGAAUGUAUUGGGCCCUCAAGAAACAGUGGAAUAAACUGCAAUAAAAGCAUCUAAUUUGGAAAACUGUG